UUGACCUCGGAUCAGGUAGGGAUACCCGCUGAACUUAAGCAUAUCAAUAAGCGGAGGAAAAGAAACCAACAGGGAUUACCUCAGUAACGGCGAGUGAAGCGGUAACAGCUCAAAUUUGAAAGCUGCCAACAGGCCGCGUUGUAAUUUGUAGAAGCUGCUUUGGGUGUCGGCCCGGUCUAAGUUCCUUGGAACAGGACGUCAUAGAGGGUGAGAAUCCCGUAUGUGAUCGGUGCCGUUGCCCGUGUAAAGCGCUUUCGACGAGUCGAGUUGUUUGGGAAUGCAGCUCAAAAUGGGUGGUAAAUUUCAUCUAAAGCUAAAUAUUGGCCAGAGACCGAUAGCGCACAAGUAGAGUGAUCGAAAGAUGAAAAGCACUUUGGAAAGAGAGUUAAACAGUACGUGAAAUUGUUGAAAGGGAAGCGCUUGCAACCAGACUUGCGGGCGGUCGAUCAUCCGAGGUUCUCCCCGGUGCACUCGAUCGUUCUCAGGCCAGCAUCGGUUUCCGGGGUGGGAUAAAGGCGGUGGGAAUGUGGCUCUUCGGAGUGUUAUAGCCCACCGUGCAAUGCCGCCACUGGGGACCGAGGACCGCGCUUCGGCUAGGAUGCUGGCGUAAUGGUUGUAAGCGACCCGUCUUGAAAA
rnacentral:rRNA from 1 species